UGUGGGAGCUGGCUUGCCUGCGAUAGCGAUGUGUCAGUCAGCUGAUGUGCCAGCUGACCCACCGCUAUCGCAGGCAAGCCAGCUCCCACA
rnacentral:misc_RNA from 3 species